UCCCUGGUGGUUCAGUGGUUAGAAUUCUGUACUUUUACUACCGAGGGCCCAUGUUCAAUUCCUGGUCAAGGAA
rfam:TPA: Bos taurus chromosome 10, whole genome shotgun sequence.